GUGUGAGAAGCAGGUGGUUGUGUUGUGCUGGGGUUCCUUAUGCAGGGGGAGGUCUGCAGUGUGUGCCAGGGCCCAGGUGUCUGUAUGCCCUCAUCCCUGAAGGUUCCUGGAUGACAAUCAACAGGAAAUGUGGAUGUUGACACAACUGUCGUGUUCCAAAGCCUCAGCCAAGAAGGAGAGUGUCCCGGAUGAGACUAAUCUCAUAGCUCCUGUGCUCCAGGUUCAGGUCGCAGCCCAUCUCUGUUCCUGGCAGGAUUUUCCCCCUUCAUCCUGGCUCAUGUGAUCUGGAAAAAAAACUUCAUCACUUGUGGUACGAAGAAAGAAGGACCUGGGGGCGUGAUGCAGGUUGCAGCUGUGAAGAGGGGAAGGAGCUUCAUGUUCUUGAUCAGGGAUUUCGCGACAGCCGUCUUGUAUGCUGCAUUGGAGGUUUCUGAUGUCAGAAGCGUCCCAGCGCCGUGAUCGCCGGCGCUCUGCAUUGACCUGGGCUUUGUGUCUGGUGGCUGCUGCUCCUGCCUCUGAAGUCUGCAGAUGCUGGCUUACCUUCUGUAGAGCACAACAGGAGAUGCCUCGGGAAAGAUAUCAGAACAGAAAAAGCAGGUAAAGUUAUUUAUUGAGUGUAAUUAUCCAGGUUCCUCUGAUUUUGGCUUAUGGGACUCCCAAAGCAGACAUGGUACCUUUCUAUUUUAAUCCAUUUCUGCUUUAUACCCCUGACAUUAAGGCGUCCUGGCACCUUACUGUUAUUAAUACUUAGCUUUAAAAAAUAUCAUCAGAGCACAGCAGUACAAAAACUUGUAUAGAUUUCCAAACAGUGUUUUUCAGAGCAUCGCUUAUCACUGUGGAAACAGGCAGUCUAUUUUAAUCAGGAGACAAAGGGAAGAAACCUCCUCUCCUGAAAGAUGAGAUGAUAGAGUAAGAUGCUUGGUCAGGGCUUCCUCAGGAAGUCUGUCACUCAAGCCUGGGAGGUGGGAUGAGGUGGAUCUUCACCCUCUCAGUCCUGCCUCAUGGCAGCAAACAUUUUGGACAGCACCUGGAAGCAGUGGUUCUCAAUCACCUUGCUAUGCACUGGAAAUUAGUCUUGAUUUGCAAGGAAAAGAACUGCACAUUCCUGAAGGCUCUUUUGAUCCCUUCCAGCAGCCAGUCCUGCAGAGCUUCAAACCUAUCCUUGGGAAAGCAGAGCGUGGAGGUGUUUCCAAAGAGCAUCAUUGCUCCGUAGCAAUGUGACAAUUGUGAAAUGCAGGAAGAUCCAAACUGCAAAGAUCUUGCAGUGACUGACGGCAUCUAUUAUACUUUAAAAGAUAUUAAGCAUCUCUUGCUCAUGGUGGAGCAGAUACAUACCUCAGCAAGGAAGAUGACUUGCAAGAGAGUAAUGGUGUUGUAGUUUUAAGAAUGUCCCAGCAUCCUCAGUGUCAUGAGGAGAGCACCAUCCUCUGUGAGCUUGUAGGUGUUUGUGGCUGUACAGAGAUGUGCAUGGUCAGCUCUACCUGCAAAUGUCAAAUACUUGUGCUAGCCUUACGUAUAAGUAGACAACCAGAUACUGCAGUGGUGAUAAUGAUAAAAUGAGAUCAAUGAAGGCCAUUAAAGGAAAAUGGGAAAAGUUCAGCCCCUGUGCAAGCAGGUGCAAACCAGAUUAAAUUUGGCUUGUUACUUUCUAGACUAAAUUCAGUCAACCCACUAGCAUGGCACUUGAAUGCUGCAGCGUUUAGUGAGCCAGCAAUGCUGAAGUCUGCUCAGAAGGUCACAUAUAAAAUAUAUGGCAGGCACAGAGCAUCUGCUUGUGCAAUGAUAUCAUGCAGUACAGAUUUCCAAGACAGCAAACACCUAAGAAUGCCCCAGGUAACAGCAGGAUCAAUGGAUGAUUCCCCUUCUUUCACCGAGGAGGGUGAAAUGCCUUGAAUUGUCGAAGGGAAAUACUGCUCAGCUGAGCCAGAUGUACAGCUAAGGCAGCCAGUAGUUUUGCAGCAGGAUAACAUGACAGGUUGACUGGAUGCUUCUGCUCCUGUAGCUUUGUCUUAGGCAGUAGAUAAACCACCUCACCUCCCUGUGAAAUAGCUGCUCUUGGGGUACAGUGGCUGUAUACCCUGGCUUGAGGGUGGUGAUGCACUUUAAGACAUAACUUUAAUGCAAUGCUCUGUUACCCUUUAUGUCCAACAACCUCACCCUACAAAACCUAUCAUGCCAGCUGCCUGAUUAUGCCUGAUUUCCAGAGCCCAGUUCACUGUUUUCAUGCCUUCUGAGCAAUGUUGUAUCCAUUCUCACAAGCUCCAGUUGAGAGGCUAAAUAGCAGGUGCUUGCCCUGUAUUUGCAUUGACUCUUCAAUAUGAGGCGCCUGCUGCAUCCUCUGCAGCAAAGAGCUUUGCUUAAAAGGACAAAGAGGGAGAAAACAAGUGAACCACAAAAUCAGCAGUUCUAAUGAUUUCUUGGUAGAGUUUUCAAGUGAGUGUCUUUAGAAGAAAAAUAUGAAAUAUCCCAGCCCCCUUUUUAAUAUUUAUUUAUCUACUCCUCCACUGAAAGGAACCAAAUAAACUUACUGAGAACUGAAAACCCAUCCAUGUGGUCAAUGGAAAUUCACCUUUGACUGAAGUUUGUGAGAACUGAAAACUUUUCUGAAAGACAUUAAAAGCCAAUUCUUCAGAGACAUAUAUGUGCCCAGCUGCCACUAAAAUCCAGAGGCGUGAAGAGUGCAAAUGCCUUUAGCAGUUUCUGUUUUGAUCCUCAGUGGGAACUGGGUCCGUUUCUCAUCAAAACCAUCAUUCAUGUUUAUGCUCAUAUAGUUUACUGCCAGAGUUUUGUCUUUAGAUUUCCACGAUCUAAGAGAGCUUAGAAUAUGUACCAUGAUGUAUCUUUUAUUAUCGUGUAUGAUUCCUCACCUCAUCCCCCUAAUUAAGGGUUUUAGAUAGCAAAUAUGCUUUUGGGCUCUUACCUUCAAAGAGAACCUCUUAAAGAAAGAGCUCUUUGACUUCAGCUAAAUUGUAAAUCACUUGAAAUGGAAAUGCAACAUCAGUAAACUGAGGUUACUGCAAAACAUCAUUAGUACUCAAGGUAUGAAUCACAGGAUUUUAAGUUUCCUCCGAUGAAUCAUUCUCUUGUAUUGUGCUUCGGUGUUAUGUAUGUACUCUGCAUCUCAGCCUGAGCUGAGAGAGAUGGAUGCCUGGGCCAGGGUCCUUCUGCUUGAGCACUCCUCACUCCUGAAAAAUGCUUCAGUAAUUGAUCCUGCAGGAGUAGCACAUGCACUCAUAACCAUGGAUCAGCAGAGGUCUGGUCCACCUUGCCUUUCAUUUACUGAGACAUGGUAAAGUACGUUACCUGCUAGGUGGGCAGGUUAUUGUGGGCAUCUCCAGAACAGUUCUGCCCCCCACCAACUUCCACCAGGGGGAGGAACUAAGAGGAUAUUCAAAAUCCCAGUGAUGCCUAAUUUCCAUUGAAAGUCAGCAAUUCAAGGAUUGAGAAAGAUCUUUUAAAAUGGUAUUUAUUAAAAACUGUACCUAUUUGUGUGAUCCUGAUCCAAGGCUGGUCACAGAAGGAAGUAAAUGACAUUCCAGUAUCACACUAACACUGCUGUGAUGAUAUUUUUGGCAGUUACCAUAAAAGAGUCUUCUGAGGGAGAUGCUGCAUAUCUCAUCCAGGCCUUCUUCUGCUCUUGCAACACAUUGGAAGGAUUCCAAGAAAAGCAAUGUUCUUUUCUCAUUUUGUUUCUCCAGUAAAAUUACUGAAUAAAAAUAGACAUCAGACAGUAGGAAAAUAAGAGAAAAUAAAAAAGGUUAGAACUGCCGUUGCACAGUAUUAUCUCCUCGGGAAGCUACGUAGUGUUUAUUUGUGCUGUGCGACUGUCUUUGUUGUUCAAAAGAAUUAUAUCACUCAGCCUUGUAAGGCAAUAGAAACACAGGUAUAUUAAAUUAGCUGAAAAUUGGCUAUAGGGGGAAAAACAUCUUUUUAUACUGGGGGUGAUAUGCACCAUCCAUCUCUCUAGAAGUACAGGUAGAAAGCAGAGGUGUUAAGAUAGAUAAUAAAAUGCAGUAAUAAAGCAGUAUAAAUGGAACAGUUAUAAAAGUACAAUAACUUCUACAGAUUUGUCAGAGAGUGCAUUUGCUCAGUAGGAGUUUUUCUCUUCCCAGACAGUACCAGUUCUGCCCAUGUAGCAUCCUUCCCAAAGAAAGGAGCUGCCUACUCUCCUGGAAAAUCUUUGGUAUUUUUCAGCAACAUUUGCUGUCAAGAGUCAAUCAAAACAGAAAUGUUCUUUUCGGAGCACUAAUCCCCUCUGCAUUCUGAUGAAUGGAUUGGGAGUAACAGGAAGGAGGUAAUGCAUGAAUCACCAAGCUGUAAGAAAUAGGAAGAUUAAAAACAUACCUUAAAUCAAAAGUGCAGAGUUCUUUAGAAUGUGAUUUUUUCAAGCAUGUCUGGAGUUUUCAGGUACCUCAAAUUCCAAUUAUUCAGUGAAAAAACACUGGAAGAAUUCAUGCCCAGCAUGGUGUUCAUCACUUCCUGAACACCAGGCCAUUUCUGAGUGAUUCGAGCAGCGUAAUCAGAAAUGGAGCCACCCAGAGCUAUACUCAGGCUCUGGUGCCUACUCUGGAUUCUACAUUUAAAAGAAGAAGGAGGCGUGCAUCACUUUGCAUGGCAGGAAGAAAUAGCUGUAAGCACUGAAAGUUGCAGAACCGAAGGACUUUUGGAAGAGGUCUGCAGAGACCAUGCUUUGACCCUCUGCUGUGAGGGAAGGCAGCACUGCAACCCGCCACAUCCAGACAUCCCAGGGCUGGCAGAGAGAUGCAGCACUGUGACCAGGGCAUCUUAGAAAAGGAUCUUACAGUCAACAUACAUAAUAGAUUCCUAGCUUUUAAGUCAGGAAGGGGCUAUUAGAUCACAUAAUUUGGCAUGCUACUCAGGUAAAGGCCAUACAAUAUUACUCAGUCAUUCUCAGAUCGGCCAAAAACCUUGUUGGUCAUUUUGUUUGUUUAUUUGUUUUCAGGAAAAAAAAAAAAAAAAA